AUUGAACGCUGGCGGCAGGCUUAACACAUGAAAGUCGAACGAGUGGCGGACGGGUGAGUAAUGCUUGGGAAUCUAGCUUAUGGAGGGGGAUAACUACGGGAAACUUUAGCUAAUACCGCUUACCACAGGAUGAGCCCAAGUGGGAUUAGGUAGUUGGUGAGGUAAAGGCUCACCAGGCCGACGAUCUCUAGCUGGUCUGCGAGGAUGAUCAGCAACUCGGGGACUGAGACGAGGCCCUGACACCUGCUGGAGGCACAGAAGGGGAAUAGAGCGAGAAGGGGGCGGCCUGACACGGCCAUGCCGCGUGAGUGGAGGAGGCCUUCGGGGUGUAGAGUGCUGUCGGUAGCGAGGCGUUAACUACAGAAGAAGGACCGGCUAACUCCGUGCCAGCAGCCGCGGUAAUUC
rnacentral:rRNA from 1 species